rnacentral:rRNA from 1 species
GAUGAACGCUGGCGGCGUGCUUAACACAUGCAAGUCGAGCGAACAGACGAGGAGCUUGCUCCUUUGACGUUAGCGGCGGACGGGUGUGUAACACGUGGAUCACCUCCCUAUAAGACUGGGAUAACUUCGGGACACCGGCGCUAAUCCCGGAUAAUCUCUUGAACCGCAUUGUUCAUUCGUGAAAGACGGUUUUGCUGUCACUUCUCGCUGGAUCCGCGCCGCAUUAGCUAGUUGUUAGGGUCACGGCUUACCAAGGCGACGAUGCGUAGCCGACCUGAGAGGGGGGUCGGCCACACUGGAACUGAGACACGGUCCAGACUCCUACGGGAGGCAGCAGAAGGGAAUCUUCCGCAAUGGGCGAAAGCAUGACGGAGCAACGCCGCGUGAGUGAUGAAGGUCUUCGGAUCGUAAAGCUCGGUUAUGGGGGAAGAACAGAUGUGGAAGUAACUGUGGACGGCUUGACGGUACCGGAUCAAGAAGCAACGGCUAACUACGUG